rnacentral:tRNA from 1 species
GGGGAUAGCUCAGUGGUAGAGUGUGCGCUUAGCAUGCACAAGGUCCUGGGUUCAAUCCCCAGCAUCUCCG